rnacentral:rRNA from 1 species
UGCCAGACUCCUACGGGAGGCAGCAGUGGGGAAUAUUGCACAAUGGGGGAAACCCUGAUGCAGCAACGCCGCGUGAGUGAAGAAGUAUUUCGGUAUGUAAAGCUCUAUCAGCAGGGAAGAAAAUGACGGUACCUGAGUAAGAAGCCCCGGCUAACUACGUGCCAGCAGCCGCGGUAAUACGUAGGGGGCAAGCGUUAUCCGGAUUUACUGGGUGUAAAGGGAGCGUAGACGGCGAUACAAGUCUGAAGUGAAAGCCCGGGGCUCAACCCCGGGACUGCUUUGGAAACUGUGUUGCUGGAGUGCUGGAGAGGCAAGCGGAAUUCCUAGUGUAGCGGUGAAGUGCGUAGAUAUUAGGAAGAACACCAGUGGCGAAGGCGGCUUGCUGGACAGUAACUGACGUUGAGGCUCGAAAGCGUGGGGAGCAAACAGGAUUAGAUACCCUAGUA